AUUGAACGCUGGCGGCAGGCCUAACACAUGCAAGUCGAACGGUAACAGGAAGAAGCUUGCUUCUUUGCUGACGAGUGGCGGACGGGUGAGUAAUGUCUGGGAAACUGCCUGAUGGAGGGGGAUAACUACUGGAAACGGUAGCUAAUACCGCAUAACGUCGCAAGACCAAAGAGGAGGACCUUCUGGCCUCUUGCCAUCUGAUGUGCCCAGAUGGGAUUAGCUAGUAGGUGGGGUAACGGCUCACCUAGGCGACGAUCCCUAGCUGGUCUGAGAGGAUGACCAGCCACACUGGAACUGAGACACGGUCCAGACUCCUACGGGAGGCAGCAGUGGGGAAUAUUGCACAAUGGGCGCAAGCCUGAUGCAGCCAUGCCGCGUGUAUGAAGAAGGCCUUCGGGUUGUAAAGUACUUUUAGCGGGGAAGAAGGGAGUAAAGUUAAUACCUUUGCGCAUUGACGUUACCCGAAGAAGAAGCACCGGCUAACUCCGUG
rnacentral:rRNA from 1 species